rnacentral:rRNA from 1 species
AGACACGGCCCAGACUCCUACGGGAGGCAGCAGUGGGGAAUAUUGCACAAUGGGCGAAAGCCUGAUGCAGCGACGCCGCGUGAGGGAUGACGGCCUUCGGGUUGUAAACCUCUUUCAGCAGGGAAGAAGCGAAAGUGACGGUACCUGCAGAAGAAGCGCCGGCUAACUACGUGCCAGCAGCCGCGGUAAUACGUAGGGCGCGGGCUUCUUCAAUUAUUGGGCGUAAAGAGCUCGUAGGCGGCUUGUCACGUCGGGUGUGAAAGCCCGGGGCUUAACCCCGGGUCUGCAUUCGAUACGGGCUAGCUAGAGUGUGGUAGGGGAGAUCGGAAUUCCUGGUGUAGCGGUGAAAUGCGCAGAUAUCAGGAGGAACACCGGUGGCGAAGGCGGAUCUCUGGGCCAUUACUGACGCUGAGGAGCGAAAGCGUG